UACGUAGGGUGCAAGCGUUAAUCGGAAUUACUGGGCGUAAAGCGUGCGCAGGCGGUUGUGCAAGUCAGAUGUGAAAUCCCCGGGCUUAACCUGGGAACUGCAUUUGUGACUGCACGGCUAGAGUGUGUCAGAGGGGGGUAGAAUUCCACGUGUAGCAGUGAAAUGCGUAGAUAUGUGGAGGAAUACCGAUGGCGAAGGCAGCCCCCUGGGAUAACACUGACACUCAUGCACGAAAGCGUGGGGAGCAAACAGG
rnacentral:rRNA from 1 species